rnacentral:lncRNA from 1 species
UUUAGUUAAUUUGACUAUGCAUUCAAAUUUCAAGGGAAAACGUCUUAUAUGAGGUUCAAACACAUGCUCUUAUUCACAAAAUCAUGUAGUGUCGAAGAAAUCAUGAAAAAUAUGAAGUUUAUAGUGGUUGUUCUUCACCAACCAAUAGCACAAUAGUCACAACCCUUUUCAAACCAAAAGAAUAAAUUCCAUAGAAAUUGUUCCAAAAAAU